rnacentral:rRNA from 1 species
CUAGCUGCGAGAAUUAAUGUGAAUUGCAGAACACAUUGAACAUCGACACCUUGAACGCAAAUGGCGGCCUCGGGUCUGUCCCGAGGCCACGCCCGUCUGAGGGUCGGCU